rnacentral:lncRNA from 1 species
GUUUAGUUAAUUUUUGACAACCGCAGCAUCCACAUUAACAAGAAGAGUAGUUGUAAGAGAUAUCUGUAGCAGCAUUUUCCGGAGACAAAACAGCAACAGAAGCAGUAACAUAACCGUAAACGCCUUCAGAUAAGUUGGUUAAUAGUGUAGUGACAAGAUCCUCAAUGGCUGUUUCAGUACCAGUUUAAAUCCAAGUAACAUCAUUGCAUCAUUGGUUUCAGUAACAUUAACACCAGCAGGAGCAACAGCAGCAAUGCUAACAGUUCCAAUCACAACAAAUGUUUAAUAACAGGGGGUUCAGUUGCAUUAACAGCAGACAGAGUAACAGCAAUAGUGAAGUUACAAUAAUUGUUAAAGUGACAGUAAUCAUCCUUACAGUAAGUCAUAGCAGUUACAGUAACAGUAGUAGUUUCAGUAUUAAUAAUCACAGUAACAUCAGUAUUUUCAUUUACAUUUACAGCAGUUUCAGUAACAGUAGUGACAAUAAGAGCAGUAUUUUUGGUUACAUUGACAGUAUUUUGAGUAAUCACCGUAACAGUAGUUACAGUAACAGUAGUAACAGUUACAGCAGUAUUUUCAGUUACAUGGGCAGUAUUUUGAGUAAUCACAGUAACAGUAGUUUCAGUAACAGCAGUAUUUUUCGGUUACAUGGACAGUAUUUUGAGUAACCGCAGUAACAGUAGUUACAGUAACAGUAUUUUCGGUUACAUGGACAGUAUUUUGAGUAACCGCAGUAACAGUAGUUUCAGUAACAGCAGUAUUUUCGGUUACAUGGACAGUAUUUUGAGUAACCGCAGUAACAGUAGUUUCAGUAACAGCAGUAUUUUCGGUUACAUGGACAGUAUUUUGAGUAACCGCAGUAACAGUAGUUUCAGUGACAGCAGUAUUUUGGGUUACAUGGACAGUAUUUUGAGUAACCGCAGUAACAGUAGUUACAGUGACAGCAGUAUUUUCGGUUACAUGGACAGUAUUUUGAGUAAUCGCAGUAACAGUAGUUACAGUAACAGCAGUAUUUUUGGUUACAUGGACAGUAUUUUGAGUAAUCGCAGUAACAGUAGUUACAGUAACAGCAGUAUUUUGGCUACAUGGACAGUAUUUUGA